UACGGGGGGGGCAAGCGUUGUUCGGAAUUACUGGGCGUAAAGGGCUCGUAGGUGGCCAACUAAGUCAGACGUGAAAUCCCCAGGCUCAACUUGGGAACUGCGUCUGAUACUGGAUGGCUUGAAUUCGGGAGAGGGAUGCAGAAUUCCAGGUGUAGCGGUGAAAUGCGUAGAUAUCUGGAGGAAUACCGGUGGCGAAGGCGGCAUCCUGGACCGAGAUUGACACUGAGGCGCGACAGCGUGGGGAGCAAACAGG
rnacentral:rRNA from 1 species